CUGACCUGCCCUAUGAGGAAUUCAAUGGCCGCAGUAUUUUAACUGUGCUAAGGUAGCAUAAUCAUUUGUCUUUUAAUUGAGGGCUGGAAUGAAAGGUUGGACGAGGUAUUAGCUUUCUUUAAUUUAGUUUUAUGAAUUUAAUUUUUGAGUUAAAAAGCUUAAAUUUAUUUGUUGGACGAGAAGACCCUAUAGAUCUUUAUAAUUUUAUAUUCUAAUAAUUUAGGGAUUAUCUUAUUUAGAGUAAAAGAAUUAUUUUGUUGGGGUGACUGUAGAAUUUUUUAAACUUCUAUUUAUUGUUAUCAUUUAUUUAUGUUUAUUUGAUCCAUAAUUUAUGAU
rnacentral:rRNA from 1 species